rnacentral:rRNA from 1 species
GGAAUAUUGGUCAAUGGGCGCAAGCCUGAACCAGCGACGCCGCGUGGGCGACGAAGGCCUUCGGGUCGUAAAGCCCUUUUCUGCGUGAAGAGGGAGGACGGUAGCGCAGGAAGAAGCGUCGGCUAACUACGUGCCCGCAGCCGCGGUAAAACGUAGGAGGCAAGCGUUAUCCGGAGUGACUGGGCGUAAAGGGCGUGUAGGCGGCGCUUCAAGUUCGUCGUGAAAGUCUCCGGCUCAACCGGGGGAUGACGAGGGAGACUGAGGCGCUGGAGGACGGUAGAGGGACAGGGAAUUCCGGGUGUAGUGGUGAAAUGCGUAGAGAUCCGGAGGAACACCAGUGGCGAAGGCGCUGUCCUGGGCCGCACCUGACGCUGAGACGCGACAGCAUGGGGAGCGAA